rnacentral:lncRNA from 1 species
GGCGGGAGGAGCCGGGCGGUGAGCGAGGUACGGGGCCAUUCACGCUCCUCCGGUGGCCCGAGAAGGUCCGGGUGAGGCGGCAGCCCUGGCGUCGUCCCGCGUUGGAGGCGUUCGCUGCCGGCUCGGGCAGCACCGCGGUACGGCGGGGGCAGGGCCUGGGCACGGCGCUUGGGCGGUCUGAGGAGAGCGCGUUGUAAAGGGGUCGAUACGAGAUGACGACUGGUAGAAAACUGGAAAUACAUAUUGCUGGUCUGACUGGUAGAAGCUGUGUGGAUGUGGUUUGUGUACACAGGAAACUGAACUAGACCACAUCUGUAGCAUGAAGCUCAUCAUAGGAUUCCUGACCCGCACCAGCAGCUUGGGAGAAAGGGGUAAAAAGAGAAAAGCCAUUAUAAAGUUUUUUCUCGUGAGACGCCCCCUGCAGUCCUGCACCCAGCUCUGGGGCCCCAACGUAAGAGGGAUAUGGAGCUGUUGGAGCGAGUCCAGCGGAGGCCACAAAGCUGCUCCGAGGGCUGGAGCACCUCUGCUCUGGAGACAGGCUGAGAGAGCUGGGCUUGUUCAGCCUGGAGAAGAGAAGGCUCCAGGGACACCUUAGAGCAGCUGCCAGUGACUAAAGGGGCUGACAAGAAAUCUGGAGAAGGGCUUUUUACAAGGGCCUGUAGUGAGAGGACAAUGGGGAAUGGCUUUAAACUGACAGAGGGGAGAUUUAGAUUAGGAAGUUCUUCCCUGUGAGGGUGGUGAGACCCUGGCACAGGUUGCCCAGAGAAGCUGUGGCUGCCCCAUCCCUGGCAGUGUUCAAGCCCAGGUUGGAUGGGGCUUGGAGCAACCUGAUCUAGUGGAAGGUGUCCCUGCCCGUGGCAGGGGGUUAGAACUGGAUGAGCUUUAAGGUCCCUUCCAACCCAAACCAUUCUGUGAUUCUAUGGUUCCAUGAAAAUUGCGCUUCUGUGUACUGAAGCCUCUGGCCAGGUGCCCUUCAACAGCAGGGCGCUGUCUCACACUAAUAGUUAAUGUCAUUAGCUUGGAAAUACAGUACUCACAUUCACCAUUCAGCUUUAAUUUUGGCCUCUCGUCACUCGGAUCCCGAGGCCUGGGGAACUUCAGCCGUGACCUGCAUGUAUCUGCAGUGGCUGGAGGUAGUCACUAGAGGGUAGAGGUGUAUACGGAUUUAACGCACUGCUCUAAAUAGCUGGAAAUGAUAAUAUUUGCCUUGGAUGUAAGAAAUGGCUCAGCUGCUUAAAAUAUAUAAAAUGAAAACAAAGCACGAUCAAGGAGUUUGCUAAUUCCACCAAAAUGUUUAAUACCAUAAUAGAUUUUCAUUGAAGUACAGAGCUAAUGUGAAUAUUUGUACAAAAUAUGUGGUUAAAAAUAGUAUUGAUUUAUAAUAUAUACAGAUAUGUCACAUCUGUGUCAGAAAUGCAGACACUUGAACGA